rnacentral:rRNA from 1 species
AACGAACGCUGGUGGCAUGCUUAAUACAUGCAAGUUGAACGAGAAAGCUCUUCGGAGUUAUUAAAGUGGCGCACGGGUGAGUAACGCGUAGGUGACGUACCUUCUAGUGGGGGACAACAUCGGGAAACCGGUGCUAAUACCGCAUACUCUCGCUGAAAUUGAAAAAAGCGAGCAAAGGGGGCUUCGGCUCUCGCUGGGAGAUUGGCCUGCGUUGCAUUAGCUUGUUGGUGGGGUAAAGGCUUACCAAGGCUACGAUGCAUAGCUGGUCUGAGAGGAUGAUCAGCCACACUGGAACUGAGACACGGUCCAG